GAGACUCUAGUAAACUAAUUACAUCACCUUGUCAAGGUGGAAUUGUGGGUGAAAACCCCACGAAUCUUG
rnacentral:tRNA from 1 species